GCACCCCAGCAAACCCUGUCUCAGUGUUGGACAUGGGCCAUGAUGGUGCCUUUGUGACUCAAAAUAUAUCCAGACGGACUUCCCCCUCUAUUGGAGUCUGUCGCUACAACUUUGAGACAGUU
rnacentral:snoRNA from 1 species